GACAGAGGUGCCAAGCGUUAGGCGGAAUCACUGGGCUUAAAGCGUGUGUAGGCGGAUCGUUAAGUACCUUGUGAAAUCCCACGGCUCAACCGUGGAACUGCUCGGUAUACUGGCGGUCUUGAGCCACCUAGGGGCAACUGGAACAAGCGGUGGAGCGGUGAAAUGCGUAGAUAUCGGGAGGAAUACCGGUGGCGAAAGCGACUCUCUGGACGGCAACUGACGCUGAGGCACGAAAGCGUGGGGAGCAAACAGG
rnacentral:rRNA from 1 species